rnacentral:rRNA from 1 species
CCUACAGGAGGCAGCAGUGGGGAAUAUUGGGCAAUGGGCGCAAGCCUGACCCAGCAACGCCGCGUGAAGGAAGAAGGCUUUCGGGUUGUAAACUUCUUUUAAGAGGGAAGAGCAGAAGACGGUACCUCUUGAAUAAGCCACGGCUAACUACGUGCCAGCAGCCGCGGUAAUACGUAGGUGGCAAGCGUUGUCCGGAUUUACUGGGUGGAAAGGGCGUGUAGCCGGGCUGACAAGGCCGAUGUGAAAUCCCGGGGCUCAAACACGGAACUGCAUUUGAAACUGUCGGUCUUGAGUAUCGGGGAGGCAGGCGGAAUUCCUAGUGUAGCGGUGGAAUGCGUAGAUAUUAGGAGGAACACCAGUGGCGAAGGCGGCCUGCUGGACGACAACUGACGGUGAGGCGCGAAAGCGUGGGGAGCAAACAGGAUUAGAUACCCUAGUAGUC